GCUGAAAUACCUGUUCUCGUCCGCUCACAGAAGUUAAGCAACGUUGAACUUGGUUAGUACCUAGAUGGGUGACCGUUCUUGAAUACCAGGUUUUGUAAG